CCAAUAGCGUAUAUUAAAGUUGCUGCAGUUAAAAAGCUCGUAGUUGAAUUUCGGGACCAUCAUGUCGGUCGUGCCUCGGUACGUACUGGUAUUGUUGGUUUCUCCCUUCUGACGAACCAUGAUGUCAUUUAUUUGGUGUUGUGGGGAAUCAGGACUGUUACUUUGAAAAAAUUAGAGUGUUUAAAGCAGGCUCACGCUUGAAUACAUUAGCAUGGAAUAAUGAAAUAGGACGUUUGAUUCUAUUUUGUUGGUUUCUAGGAUUGACGUAAUGAUUAAUAGGGAUAGUUGGGGGCAUUAGUAUUCAAUUGUCAGAGGUGAAAUUCUUGGAUUUAUUGAAGACUAACUACUGCGAAAGCAUUUGCCAAGGAUGUUUUCAUUAAUCAAGAACGAAAGUUAGGGGAUCGAAGACGAUCAGACACCGUCGUAGUCUUAACCAUAAACUAUGCCGACUAGGGAUCGGAUGAUGUUAAUUUUUUAAUGACUCAUUCGGCGCCUUACG
rnacentral:rRNA from 1 species